GAUGAACGCUAGCUACAGGCUUAACACAUGCAAGUCGAGGGGCAGCAUAGUCUUAGCUUGCUAAGGCCGAUGGCGACCGGCGCACGGGUGAGUAACGCGUAUCCAACCUGCCUUACACUCUUGGACAGCCUUCUGAAAGGGAGAUUAAUACAAGAUGUUAUCAUGAGUAAGCAUUUUCGCAUGAUUAAAGGUUUACCGGUGUAAGAUGGGGAUGCGUUCCAUUAGAUAGUAGGCGGGGUAACGGCCCACCUAGUCUUCGAUGGAUAGGGGUUCUGAGAGGAAGGUCCCCCACAUUGGAACUGAGACACGGUCCAAACUCCUACGGGAGGCAGCAGUGAGGAAUAUUGGUCAAUGGACGAGAGUCUGAACCAGCCAAGUAGCGUGAAGGAUGAAGGUUCUAUGGAUUGUAAACUUCUUUUAUACGGGAAUAAACGAAUCCACGUGUGGAUUUUUGCAUGUACCGUAUGAAUAAGGAUCGGCUAACUCCGUGCCAGCAGCCGCGGUAAUACGGAGGAUCCGAGCGUUAUCCGGAUUUAUUGGGUUUAAAGGGAGCGUAGAUGGGUUGUUAAGUCAGUUGUGAAAGUUUGCGGCUCAACCGUAAAAUUGCAAUUGAUACUGGCAGUCUUGAGUACAGUUGAGGUAGGCGGAAUUCGUGGUGUAGCGGUGAAAUGCUUAGAUAUCACGAAGAACUCCGAUUGCGAAGGCAGCUUACUAACCUGUAACUGACAUUGAUGCUCGAAAGUGUGGGUAUCAAACAGGAUUAGAUACCCUGGUAGUCCACACGGUAAACGAUGAAUACUCGCUGUAGGCGAUAUACAGUCUGCGGCCAAGCGAAAGCAUUAAGUAUUCCACCUGGGGAGUACGCCGGCAACGGUGAAACUCAAAGGAAUUGACGGGGGCCCGCACAAGCGGAGGAACAUGUGGUUUAAUUCGAUGAUACGCGAGGAACCUUACCCGGGCUUAAAUUGCAACCGAAUAUGGCGGAAACGCUAUAGCUAGCAAUAGCGGUUGUGAAGGUGCUGCAUGGUUGUCGUCAGCUCGUGCCGUGAGGUGUCGGCUUAAGUGCCAUAACGAGCGCAACCCUUGCCGAUAGUUACUAACAGGUUAUGCUGAGGACUCUGUCGGGACUGCCAUCGUAAGGUGUGAGGAAGGUGGGGAUGACGUCAAAUCAGCACGGCCCUUACGUCCGGGGCUACACACGUGUUACAAUGGGGGGUACAGAGGGCUGCUACCACGCAAGUGGAUGCCAAUCCCAAAAACCUCUCUCAGUUCGGAUUGAAGUCUGCAACCCGACUUCACGAAGCUGGAUUCGCUAGUAAUCGCGCAUCAGCCACGGCGCGGUGAAUACGUUCCCGGGCCU
rnacentral:rRNA from 1 species